GAUGAACGCUAGCGGCAGGCCUAACACAUGCAAGUCGAGGGGCAGCACAGGAAGGUAGUAAUACUUUUGGGUGGCGACCGGCGGACGGGUGCGUAACGCGUAUACAACCUGCCUUCUACUGGGGGAUAAUUCGGAGAAAUCUGGUCUAAUACCCCAUAUCAACCGAUGAGGCAUCUCAUUGGUUUAAAAGCUCCGGCGGUAGAAGAUGGGCAUGCGUGUCAUUAGCUAGUUGGCGGGGUAACGGCCCACCAAGGCGACGAUGACUAGGGGCUCUGAGAGGAGAAUCCCCCACACUGGUACUGAGACACGGACCAGACUCCUACGGGAGGCAGCAGUAAGGAAUAUUGGUCAAUGGAGGCAACUCUGAACCAGCCAUGCCGCGUGCAGGAAGACUGCCCUAUGGGUUGUAAACUGCUUUUAUACCGGAAUAAACCUCGAUUCGAGAAUUGAGCUGAAUGUACGGUAAGAAUAAGGAUCGGCUAACUCCGUGCCAGCCGCCGCAGUAA
rnacentral:rRNA from 1 species